ensembl:lncRNA
CGAGACACGGCUCCAACUCGGAUGUUCUUGAUCCCAAGUCCAGCGCUGGGGGUUUAAAGGAAGGCUAUGGGCUGCCUGAGAGGAAAGACACCAGGAUAAUAGUGGCACCCACUUGGGAUGCGGCGGUGUCCGUAGAAGCCCUGAGUGCACGUGGUGGCCGCACAUCCCUUCCCCCCCCCCCCCCCCCGCGCGCUCCGAGGGGCUCCCCCCAGGCCUUGCCCCCAGCUCCGAUGCUACUUCCAGCGCUUUACUACGGAUUGGGGAAGGUCGGGGCUUGCGGCCUGUGAAGGCCCCGGCCCCCCCGCCCCCGGCUGCAUUUGGAUCCCGUAGCCCCGCCCAGAGCUCCGGGGGUGUGGGGACGGGCUGGGGCGAGCUCCCGGGCCAGUUCGGGGAGUCUACAACUAUCCCGGGCCUGGGCGCUGUCCAGAGGAGUCGGGUCUCCGGAAGGGAAUCACGGCCUUCGUAGGGACCGCAGUAACUCCUGUGGCAACAGAGCGGGACUAUCCCUCCCCUAGGCUGGAGACUCUUGCCCGUGGCUACCAUUUCCUGCCCCAGCUCAACAUCACCUUCACAUUCCCCUUCACUUUCAACCAUGAGGUCCUUUUUAGUCAUGUUCCUCGUAGCCAUCAUCAUCAUGACCAAGCAAUUUGCCCAAGCCCUGAAUUGCCAUGUUUGUACAGCUAAUGAAAAUGACUGUUCGAACCCAAUGCAGUGUCCUGGACUAGCCAUCUACUGCAAGACCAUUCGGGCCUCUUCUCCAGCUCUGGUCUACAAAUCCUGUGCGGCCAUCUGCACCAAGGAUAGCAUGGAGGAAAUUCAAAUAAAACAAAAUGCCAAGGUGUCCUGCUGCCAGUCAGACCUGUGUAAUGGGGCUGCUUCCUGGAACCCGGGAUCCUCAAGCCUCAUCCUCACGGGGCUUCUCAGCAUCUUCUGGGGCCUGUUUGCUCUUGGUCUCUGAGCUAUAGCCAGCAGACCCACAGGUGGAUAAAUUAACUUCCUUUCCCUCCUUUGCAUUGAUAGCUCAGCCUGGCUCCCAGGUGAGAGAGGGAGACUAUGCUCCUGUCCUUCCUUUGUCACUAGGUCCCACUCAGAGCACUGGGCUGUUUCCAGCCCUCCAUCACCUACCAUCCCCCACUGCUAUGUCUCUGUUUGGCUUUCAUAUCAGUAGAAUAGCCCUGGCCAUUUUCCAGAAGGUCGAAAAUGAUUCUUAUGACACAAUUUUGAUUUGGAAGGAAAUCACAAAAUCCCAGAUUUAAAAGGGACUCUAGAGAGCAUCCCAUGCAACCUUCAUUUGAGCAGCAAUCCCCUCUGUUAUAUCCCUGACAGGCUCUCAUUCAGCGUUGACUUGAAGAAUGCCGGUUGUGGGAAACUCCCUAUCUGUUGGGGCACCCCGUUCUACUUCUGGACAGUUUUAAUUGGCAGGAAGCAUUUCCUUAUAUCCAGUCCAAAUCUUCCUCUCUGCAAUUUUUAGACCUGGUUCCUAAUUUUGCUUGCUAGGACCAAGCAGACCAAGUCGAAUCUGUCACAUAUCUGAAGACAGCUAUAGUUUCCGUUCUCUUUUGCAAGUUAACGCUCCUAUCCCUCCAACCCCAGUCCUUGCAUGGCAGGAGACCUCACAGAUCAUUCUAUUUUAGCCUCGCCUCAUUUUACAGAGGAGGACACUGAGCUUUAAAGAAAAAUCCUUGCUUGUCUAACAUAGGUAGGAAAUGACAAAGGUGAGACUUGAACUCAAGAUUUUUGACUUCAGAUCUAGUUUUGUUUAUUCUCUUUGCUGUGGAAGAAAUACCAGUCUCUGGUCCCCUUCCAGGACACUCCUCAAAUUUCCAGUUAAUUUAAGGUUUGAGGAAUAGGUUAAAGAAGGCUAGAAGUGGAAGGAGAAGAAAAAUCUCUUGAAUCCCUCUUGUUCGUUGUGGAGUUCAGGGGAGUGACAACACAGAAUCCCAACAGCUGCUCCUGGGCUGGCUCUCUCCCCAAAGUCUCAAAUGUUUAUUGGUCUGUCAGAUGUCACCCCAGGCUCUUUCUACAAAAGGGAAGGGAAGGGAACAGAUCAUAUUGGGGCUUUUUUUAGCUGCCUGACUCAGCCCUGGGAUGAGAAACCAAGGCCCUUGUCCCCAGGGCAUCUCUCCCACUCCCCCCUCCUAGGUGAGAAGGCAAACAUGACUACGCCAGUAACCUCUCCUAACAGAAGUAGGAGAGGCUGAAGUUAUAGGAACAGGAGGCCCGCUAAAACAGCCCAGUGACACUCCAGGCUCAACUAACAACCUCUGGCUACAGAUAUGAGGCUCCGUGGGAUUAGCUACCCCUCAUGGAGAAGUAGAAAGCACGUUUGGUGGUCCAUCCUCUGGAGUCAAAGAGCCCCUCAUUUUUUUACAGCUGAGAAAACUUCCCAAAAAGAAGGGGAAAGGCAUGCUAAUUAGUAAAUAUAAUAAACUAAAUAGUAAAUAAUAUAUAGCAGAGCAUGGACCAGAACGUAAGUGAAACAAUGCAUAGAGUGCUAAGUCUGAAGUCAGAAACACCUGAGUUUGAUUCCUGCCUUGGUUACUAAUUCUAUGAAUCUGGACAAGUCAUUUCAACUCUGUUUGCCUCAGUUUUUUCAUCUGUAAAAUGGGGAUAAUAAUGGCACUUACCUUCCAGGGUUUGGUGAGGAUUAAAUGACACUAUAUUGAUAAAGUAUCUAACAGUGCUUAAUAUAUGGUAGGCACUAUAUAAAUGCUUGUUUCUUUCCUUCUGAUCCCACCCCCCCAAAUCAAGAUUCUCUGCAUUUUGCCUUUUAUUCCUAGAAAGGAACUUGGUGGUCAUGUAUAAGGCUGCCCUCGAUAUACACAUACAUACAUACAUCAUCAUCAUUAUCAUUGUCUAUUGAGGUCAAUAAUAUAUCCCCCAGAGGUUUGGCUGAGAUGAAUUAUUGACGGGAUAAAAUAUAAACUCCCAAUAUCAUUCAAGGUUCACUCACCAGCUGGUUCCCAUCUACCUGCCAGAUCUUAUUUUAUUGUCCUUCCCUUGCUCUAUGUUCUAGAGAAACUGGACAACCCUUCACCUCUUGUUCUUUGUCUGACAAUCCCCAUCUCUGUGUAUUUUUGUCCAUACCAUCUUCCCCAUCUCCAUCUAUUGAAGACCUUUUUCUUUCACCCUUUAUAGUCCAAUUCAGAUGCCACCUUUUUCCUUGAACCUCCCUCCCUAAUCUUUUCCCUAAGUCACAUGUUGUCCCUCAGAGUCCUAUUUCUUUCCCUCUCUCUGCUCUCUAGAGCCUGAAUUGUCACCCAAAUGGAAGAGAAUGGCAGGCCAUCCCCAGUAAUCUCUCAAAGGUAGAAAUCUAUUCAUCCAGUUAAGGGAGGAAGGAAGGAGGAAGGUCUGCAGGUAAAAUCUCAGCCUUUCUCCCAGACUUUUAUCUGGUCCAUCACUGUACCAAACUGAAGCUUAGACAGACUUUGUAGAUACAAACAAAACAAAAUUAAAGCUAGAUAAAUUAGAAAGAUUUUGUAUUUGGAUAAAUUCAGAGUUAUAUAUGUAUGGGAGACUUCACAGGGACUUUCAAACCAAAUUUGAAGCCUCCUCUCAUUAAGUUCUUAUUUCUUCAGUUAUUCCUGGGAACUCGUCAAACCUUUUUUGUGCAUCUUCUUAUAGACCUACCUUGAAUUAUUGAUGUAAGGUAUGUGAAUACAUCCUGAGUGUUCUCAUUAACCUUUCUCCUCAGAAAAAAAGAAACAUUAGGAAGGCUCCCUCAGAGUCUACUAGUACACCUAACUCAUCCAUGAGCAAAGUAUGACAAUGAUUAUUGAUUUUGCAAGGUAUUAUCUGCUACUCUAACAUAUCCUAUAUUAGAUUGUAAACUCCUUGAGGACAGGUGAGGACAGGCAGUACUGUGUAUCAGACAGAGCACUUGGACUUGGGGUUAUAAGACCUGGAUGUCACUCUGGCUGCUGUAUUUGCUUGACUCUUCAUUGUCAACUUGUCUUCCUCAGCUUCAGUAUCCUUAUCUGUAAAAUAUGGAUACUAACCUUUGCACUGCCUACCUCACAGAGCCAUGUAAGGAUCAAAUAAAAGACACAACAAGUAUUUUACAGCCUAUACACAUGUAAAAUAUUAUCUAAAGUUUGCAUUACUCUGAAUAUCUAUUAUAAACGUUCUUCAUGUAGCACGUGAUGAAUAAAGAUUUGCUGAAUUCAAAGAAGCAUCUUUCUAUGUCUGUUUCAUCAUCUAUACUUAC